GGCGGCGUGCCUAAUACAUGCAAGUCGAGCGGACCGACGGGAGCUUGCUCCCUUAGGUCAGCGGCGGACGGGUGAGUAACACGUGGGUAACCUGCCUGUAAGACUGGGAUAACUCCGGGAAACCGGGGCUAAUACCGGAUGCUUGAUUGAACCGCAUGGUUCAAUCAUAAAAGGUGGCUUUUAGCUACCACUUACAGAUGGACCCGCGGCGCAUUAGCUAGUUGGUGAGGUAACGGCUCACCAAGGCGACGAUGCGUAGCCGACCUGAGAGGGUGAUCGGCCACACUGGGACUGAGACACGGCCCAGACUCCUACGGGAGGCAGCAGUAGGGAAUCUUCCGCAAUGGACGAAAGUCUGACGGAGCAACGCCGCGUGAGUGAUGAAGGUUUUCGGAUCGUAAAACUCUGUUGUUAGGGAAGAACAAGUACCGUUCGAAUAGGGCGGCACCUUGACGGUACCUAACCAGAAAGCCACGGCUAACUACGUG
rnacentral:rRNA from 1 species